UUUCCCUCUGCACAGGUUUUGAUAAACCUCCCCCUCUGUACUGACAACUUUAAGAGAAUGGUUCUCCAACCCCACCCUCCAUCCAUGCAACACCAUAUCCAAUGUAUGAAAAACCUCUUCUUGCUGGUCAGACAUGAGAUCCUAAAAAACAAAGAACAGCUAAACACAUGUGGAAUCUAUUCCUCACCAGCUUUACCUCCUCAGAUUGGCUGCUGUGUAUAAACACAAGUCUAUCAAGGCUCACCCGGAAGUCAGUGAAUGAAGAGAUAAUUUCCAUUACAUCCAGUACAGAAUAAACCACCAGUAAGAAAAAGAACUUGGGAUGAGGAGAUGUCUGCCACCUCUGGGGCAUCUUGAGAAAGAUUACAGGUGAAUGGAAUUCCCACUAGCAAGACAUACUGCCAAAAGAUAAGAAUCAUAAGAAAACACUCUUUAAGAUGGUUGUAUAAUGUCUGAAAACCAGAUGUUACACAGUCUCUAUCAAUUUCACAAUUGAAACAAAAGAAUAUACUAGUUCUGAAUACAAUCGGGUAGAGUCAAAUUUGUCAUGACAAAGUGGUACAAUUGCUGACCAUAAAUGGUAAUUUAAAUGCAACUA